ACUACUUCUAGGCCUUUUGGCUAAGAUCAAGUGUAGUGUCUGUUCUUAUCAGUUUAUUUUACAUUUAUUUAUUUUUUAUUUUUUUAUUUUUUGAGACGGAGUUGCCCUCUUGUCACCCAGGCUGGAGUGCAAUGGCGUGAUCUCGGCUCACUGCAACCUCCACCUCGUGGGUUCAAGCAAUUCUC